CCUCGAGAGGGAGGCACGGGAGCUCGCGGGUUCCCACCAGCGCGGCGUCCCCACACGGUCGCCUAGACCGUCGCGCAGGGCCAAUGGCGAGUCCGACCCUUCCGUCG
rfam:Chloroflexi bacterium CSP1-4 XT10_C0003, whole genome shotgun sequence.